UGGGGAAUAUUGCGCAAUGGGGGGAACCCUGACGCAGCCAUGCCGCGUGAAUGAAGAAGGCCUUCGGGUUGUAAAGUUCUUUCGGUAUUGAGGAAGGUUGAUGUGUUAAUAGUACAUCAAAUUGACGUUAAAUACAGAAGAAGCACCGGCUAACUCCGUGCCAGCAGCCGCGGUAAUACGGGGGGUGCGAGCGUUAAUCGGAAUAACUGGGCGUAAAGGGCACGCAGGCGGUGACUUAAGUGAGAUGUGAAAGCCCCGAGCUUAACUUGGGAAUUGCAUUUCAUACUGGGUCGCUAGAGUACUUUAGGGAGGGGUAGAAUUCCACGUGUAGCGGUGAAAUGCGUAGAGAUGUGGAGGAAUACCGAAGGCGAAGGCAGCCCCUUGGGAAUGUACUGACGCUCAUGUGCGAAAGCGUGGGGAGCAAACAGGAUUAGAUACCCUGGUAGUCCACGCUGUAAACGAUGUCGAUUUGGGGAUUGGGCUUUAAGCUUGGUGCCCGUAGCUAACGUGAUAAAUCGACCGCCUGGGGAGUACGGCCGCAAGGUUA
rnacentral:rRNA from 1 species